GUACAGGAGACUUCUCUGCCUGGGCUGGGAAAGGGGCCUUUCUUUUGUUUUGCAGAUAGAUCCACCCACUGAGGAACUUCAAAAUUUUUUUCAAACAUAACUCCAGGCCUUGCUUUUAUUGGUGAAUGUCCUGUUCCCAGUGCCCGGUUAUUUAUGAUUAAAUUACCCAAGUGUCUAAAAAGAACUAGAAGGACCCGGCCCAGCCAUAAUGCAGACUUUCCCAUUCCUUCUCUUUCCACCCGCAACUGUGGGGCUAAGAAUUCUUCAGUUCUUCAGAUGUCACAAUUAUACCAUCCUACCUCAUCUAAAAUCGAUCCGAGGCUGGUCCGAUGGUAGUGGGUUACCAGAACUUAGUAACAUUAAUAUCUCUAAAGUUAGUAUACAACCCCCCACUGCUAAAUUUGACUAUAAAAAUAAAAUUGAUCCGAGCACCAUAUAAAAUGGAAUCCUGGAGGGUCCCCUAGAGGCAGUAUCCCCAGUGGAAGGAGCGUGGGCCUCAAGGUCAGACAAACCUGGUUUGGAAUCCAGGCUGUGUAUCCUUUGGAAAGUCAUUGAAUCCAGCAGGCCCAUUUCCUUUUCUCUAAAAUAAGGGUCAUCAUACCUAAGGAUGUUGUGAGGCGUGAGUGAGAUGAUUAAAGCGUUCCAGAGAGUGCGCUCUUGGAUGAUAGCCGUUACUUUUUAUUAACCCUGGCUUUGGUGGUAAGGGAAACUUCCAGAAAUGCUUGUGGGUAUAUUGGAUAGCUCAGAAAAUCUGGGAAAUCAAAGUGGCUCAAUAGCUGUGAGGAACUGUGGGUGACCUUAUCUUCACAUUGUGUUUCUUCCAGAAAUUCAGACGCAACAGAGGUUGGGCCAGUUUGAUGGGUUCCAGUGAGCGGUGUGUGGAGCCUAGUAGAGCAUAGAGGUUGGAAAGAGAAGAGAGGCUGGGAGCGGAUGGAAAGCAUGACUGCAUCUGGAGCCCCUGGGGGGAGUGGGGAAGAGGGAGUGGAAGGACAGUGGCUGAGGGGCUUCCUGUUGCAGCCUUCAGCUGGACUCAGGGUUGGGGUCACUGGAGGAGGAGGUGGCUUCCUGCCCCAUUGUUCUGGACUGCAGUGUUUCUUGGGAAUACUUACUGUAUGGAUUUUCAGUAACCAACUUGGAAAGCUGUAUUUGUUCCCAUGAUUCAGCAAACAAUGAGCACCUACUGUGUGCAGAGGCAGCAGGACAGCCUGUCAUCACUGGGAAAGAGGCCAGAAGAGCCAUUUGGCCAGGGUCUCCAAUUUAGUCUUUCAACAUUCUCUCUAAAUAAGGUUAUACAUUAUGUCAGCUCCACUGGCUGAUGGGAUCAAAGACCCUCCUUAUAUAUCUUUAAACCUGUACUCUGUUACCAGGCCACUGUGCCUGUGGAGCACUGUAAGUUCUUACCUUUUAACAAAUUUUAUAAUUAUCUUGUGAGCAGCACAAUUGUCAUAGUUUUUUGUAUCAAAAACAUUAAUUUGUUAAACAUUUUAAAACAUG